AUGGAAAUUCAUUCAUUCAUGCAUUCUUUCAUUCACGGUUUAUUGAGAAUUACUGAGGUGAGGGACAGGUUUAGUGUGGUUUUCCUAUCUGUUCUUGCUUUUGUUUUAAUCUUUCUCCCCUCAAAUUCUCUACAGAGUUUAAGAUUUCUUCACAACAGCUGCUUCUCUACAGGGGUAACAGCUAGACCUCUGGUAGUGUUAGAAGGAGACAACCCAGGACAGCAGCAGCUGGUUUUAUUUUUGGUUUUCGUCAGGUGUUGGCUUUAUUUUGCCUUUUUCAAGUUUGGUGUCCUAUUGUUCAGCACGAACAACAGAUUUCUAGGGAAGUAUCUGUAUUUUAAAGGAGGGUGUAUAUGGCACUGUGGUCAGUUUUUGUAGCAUUUUUUCCCAAAUGUUAAUUACUGAGCUUCUUGGAAGUGAUUUUUAAAGAGAAGUGCAUAAAAAGGAUGGGUAAGUCGUAUUUGGUGAGGAUCCGUAUUUCAGGUGGAAAGCUAAAGUAGAAUGUGUGUUCUCAAAUCCAUGUACAUAAUUUCUUUUUUCUUCAUUUGGAGUACUUGCCAAUACUAGUGGAAAUUCAGACAGUACAAUUGAGUUUGUAAAUCUUAAGAUUACUAGAAAUUUAAGUUUUAUUUGGUAUAAAGUUCUACAUUUAUAUUUAACUGCAGUAAGUGAGCUUGCUACAAUCUUUGUCAGUUCUUGUUCUUAUCCUCAUUCCACAGUGCUAUGACAUUCUGUUUCCUUAUUUAUGUAGCAAAAUGACUGACUACUCAGGAGUCUUCCCAUGGAAGAGGUCUUCUGAGAUUUGUUGGAAGUAGAAAAUUGCUACUGAGAUGUGCUUUAGUUUUGGCUAUUUCUUACCUUGCUUUGUUUCAGCAGUCAUUAGUAAAGCAAGACAAGAGUGAAAUAGAUGAUAGAGAUGCAUAUUGUGUACUCUAUGAAAGAAGACAUUUUUGGUGAUAACAUUUUCAUUAAAAAUGAGUCCAAUGUGUAUUUAGCCUGGGUGCAGUGGUUCAUGUCUAUAAUCCUAGCAACUUGGUAAACUGAGAUCAGGAGGAUCAUGGCUUGAGGCUAGCCUGAGCAAAAAAGUUUGUGAGACCCCCAUCUCAACCAAUAAAAAGCUGGGUGUGGUGGUGCA
rnacentral:lncRNA from 1 species